GACGAACGCUGGCGGCGUGCUUAACACAUGCAAGUCGAACGAAGAGCGAUGGAAGCUUGCUUCUAUCAAUCUUAGUGGCGAACGGGUGAGUAACGCGUAAUCAACCUGCCCUUCAGAGGGGGACAACAGUUGGAAACGACUGCUAAUACCGCAUACGAUCUAAUCUCGGCAUCGAGGAUAGAUGAAAGGUGGCCUCUACAUGUAAGCUAUCACUGAAGGAGGGGAUUGCGUCUGAUUAGCUAGUUGGAGGGGUAACGGCCCACCAAGGCGAUGAUCAGUAGCCGGUCUGAGAGGAUGAACGGCCACAUUGGGACUGAGACACGGCCCAGACUCCUACGGGAGGCAGCAGUGGGGAAUCUUCCGCAAUGGACGAAAGUCUGACGGAGCAACGCCGCGUGAGCGAUGACGGCCUUCGGGUUGUAAAGCUCUGUUAAUCGGGACGAAAGGCCUUCUUGCGAAUAGUGAGAAGGAUUGACGGUACCGGAAUAGAAAGCCACGGCUAACUACGUGCCAGCAGCCGCGGUAAUAC
rnacentral:rRNA from 1 species